AACGCUGUGUUUUCUUCUAGGGUUCACGUGAGUUCAUCUUCACAGCUCCAGGAGCAGAGACGACUUCGUUUGCGCAGCCGAUCCUUCACCUCCUUCCUUCCGAUACCAGAAACAGAUUUAACAUCUUUAAACUCUCCAUUAAUUGAACACCCACGAUCUAGAUUCAAUGCGAGCUUUUUUUUUGUGUAAGGCAGUGGAGUCUGGCUAUAAAAAGGUUAUGUAUUAGAUGGAUCGGUGAUUUGUGUUCAUAACGAAGCUGGUGGCGAGUCUGGCGACUGUUUCUGUUUCCGCAAGUCAGACGAAAUCACGAAUCUUUUGAACUUAUCUUGUGUUUUUUAUAACUUUGAAACAUGAAGUUUAAAACAUAAAGCCAAGUAUAUGACAUCUUUAAAAUUGAAAAUUUGAGAAUCUUUAAAUCUUUAAAACUGAAAUUAUGUUUUUACAUUAAAUGGACGUAUGGGCCGUCUAUGGAUAGCCCAACAAAUUAUGGUCUUAUUUGGUUAUGGUCUCAUUUGGACAUGGUUCUAUUUGGGCUUCGACCAAAAAUGUCCAGCAAAAAAAUAAAACCCAUUCGGACACACCCAAACCCGCCCAACCCGCCCAUUUGACAUCUCUAGUCAUGGCUAACCCUUUGGUCAACCUCUCCGAUCUACAGUCUGGCCGCUCUUCCUACACCGUUCAAGUCCGAUUGCUCCACUUCUGGGAGGCCAGGAACGUCUGACGCGCUGGCGAACUCAUGGUACUCGAUAUGUUGCUGCUUGAUUCCCAGGUGAAACUUUGGACACGCUGAAGAGGGCGAUUCAUGUACGAGAUGCAACUGCAAAAAGUCAAAGUGUUUGAAGCUGUAAGUUCACCUUGCUCCUCUUUAAUCUUUGCAUGUUUAAGAAAUUCAAAACUGGCUUGAAGUUGAUUGUUGUUUGAGUCUCUGUAGUUACUAUGAAUUUUUCUGCUGAGUUUAUUGCAUAGAGCCAUGUUCAUGUCUAGAUUGCUUCAAGCCUCCAACAAACUAAUCCAUUAAGACUCUGUCUUGGCUACCCGCAAACAGAUUGAGAAUUCACUUGCAUUAUCUCCCAAACACAAAAAACAACAACACUCUCUAUACAGAGAUCAUGCGGAUAAAUCCCAGAGUUUGUUACUCAGAUUUCUAUCACCGCUGCUGGCACUGGUAUCACUGUGCUGUUCAGUGUGAUAUGUAGCCUUGCUUCAAGUCGUGUACCCUUUUGCACAAACAAGUUCUUCAACACUGGACUUGGUUUAAGUGUGGUAAUACUGUUUUGGGCUGUGGAUAGACUCAGGGAGAUGAUUACUUAGAGCAUGCCUUUUCAAUGGGUUAUGGCUUUUAAGUUAGCAAUGAGAACCAUAGUUAUAUCUGUGGAAGCAAAAGCUAAACAGUAUUUUAUUUUCUAAUGGGAAACCUCUUAUUAUCCUUUGUAAAUUAUAUGUUUCUCCAAUGACCUGGAGAAUAUAUAAACUGGUUUAUGUUUGUGAGAAUCAAGAACAAACAAAUACUUGAAUAUAAAACAUGUAUACCCAGGA